rnacentral:rRNA from 1 species
UCCGUAGGCGGGCAAUUAAGUCAGAGGUGAAAUCCCACAGCUCAACUGUGGAACUGCCUUUGAUACUGGUUGUCUUGAGUUAUAGUGAAGUAGAUAGAAUAUGUAGUGUAGCGGUGAAAUGCAUAGAUAUUACAUAGAAUACCGAUUGCGAAGGCAGUCUACUAACUGUAUACUGACGCUAAUGGACGAAAGCGUGGGGAGCGAACAGGAUUAGAUACCCUGGUAGUC